ACUCAAAUGAAUAGACGGGGGCCCGCACAAGCAGCGGAGCGUGUGGUUUAAUUCGACGCAACGCGCAACACCUUACCACGGUUUGACAUCCACCGAACCUGCCUGAAAGGGCGGGGUGCCUUCGGGAGCGGUGAGACAGGUGCUGCAUGGCUGUCGUCAGCUCGUGUCGUGAGAUGUUGGGUUAAGUCCCGCAACGAGCGCAACCCCCGUGGCUAGUUACGAGGUGUGUCUAGCCAGACUGCCGGAACCAAACCGGAGGAAGGUGGGGAUGAUGUCAAGUCAGCAUGGCCCUUACACCGUGGGCGACACACACGCUACAAUGGCCGGGACAAUGGGCAGCCAAGCGGUAACGCGGAGCCAAUCCCACAAACCCGGUCUCAGUUCAGAUCGUGGGCUGCAACUCGCCCACGUGAAGGCGGAGUUGCUAGUAACCGCCGGUCAGCAUUACGGCGGUGAAUAUGUUCCCGGGCCUUGUACACACCGCCCGU
rnacentral:rRNA from 1 species